GACAGAGGGUGCAAACGUUGUUCGGAAUUACUGGGCGUAAAGCGCGUGUAGGCUGCUCCGCAAGUCGGAUGUGAAAGCCCUGGGCUCAACCUAGGAAGUGCAUUCGAUACUGCAGAGCUUGAGUCCUGGAGAGGAAGGCGGAAUUCUCGGUGUAGAGGUGAAAUUCGUAGAUAUCGAGAGGAACACCGGUGGCGAAGGCGGCCUUCUGGACAGUGACGUGACGCA
rnacentral:rRNA from 1 species